rnacentral:rRNA from 1 species
CAAUAGCGUAUAUUAAAGUUGUUGCGGUAAAAAAGCUCGUAGUUGGAUUUCUACCGAAGAUAGCCGGUCGGGUCUUCGACCUUGUAUCUGGUUUUGUCUUUGGUAUCCUCAUAGGGAACGUUUCUGCGCUUUAUUGCGUGGUGCGGUAUCUAUGACUUUUACUUUGAGGAAAUUAGAGUGUUCACGGCAGGCAAACGCCUUGAAUAUAUUAGCAUGGAAUAAUAACAUAGGAUCUUCGUCCUAUUUUGUUGGUUUCUAGGGCCAAGAUAAUGAUUAAUAGGGAUAAUUGGGGGCAUCUGUAUCAACGCGUCAGAGGUGGAAUUCUUGGAUUGCGUUGCGACAAACUACUGCGAAAGCAUUUGCCAAGGAUGUUUUCAUUGA